ACAUGCAAGUAGAACGCUGACUACUUUAGCUUGCUAGAGUAGAAGGAGUUGCGAACGGGUGAGUAACGCGUAGGUAACCUGCCUACUAGCGGGGGAUAACUAUUGGAAACGAUAGCUAAUACCGCAUAACAGUGUUUAACACAUGUUAGAUGCUUGAAAGAUGCAAAUGCAUCACUAGUAGAUGGACCUGCGUUGUAUUAGCUAGUUGGUGGGGUAACGGCCUACCAAGGCGACGAUACAUAGCCGACCUGAGAGGGUGAUCGGCCACACUGGGACUGAGACACGGCCCAGACUCCUACGGGAGGCAGCAGUAGGGAAUCUUCGGCAAUGGGGGCAACCCUGACCGAGCAACGCCGCGUGAGUGAAGAAGGUUUUCGGAUCGUAAAGCUCUGUUGUAAGAGAAGAACGUGUGUGAGAGUGGAAAGUUCACACAGUGACGGUAACUUACCAGAAAGGGACGGCUAACUACGUGCCAGCAGCCGCGGUAAUACGUAGGUCCCGAGCGUUGUCCGGAUUUAUUGGGCGUAAAGCGAGCGCAGGCGGUUUAAUAAGUCUGAAGUUAAAGGCAGUGGCUUAACCAUUGUUCGCUUUGGAAACUGUUAAACUUGAGUGCAGAAGGGGAGAGUGGAAUUCCAUGUGUAGCGGUGAAAUGCGUAGAUAUAUGGAGGAACACCGGUGGCGAAAGCGGCUCUCUGGU
rnacentral:rRNA from 1 species